rnacentral:rRNA from 1 species
GGGUUGUGAGGUUAAGCGACUAAGCGUACACGGUGGAUGCCCUGGCAGUCAGAGGCGAUGAAGGACGUGCUAAUCUGCGAUAAGCGUCGGUAAGGUGAUAUGAACCGUUAUAACCGGCGAUUUCCGAAUGGGGAAACCCAGUGUGUUUCGACACACUAUCAUUAACUGAAUCCAUAGGUUAAUGAGGCGAACCGGGGGAACUGAAACAUCUAAGUACCCCGAGGAAAAGAAAUCAACCGAGAUUCCCCCAGUAGCGGCGAGCGAACGGGGAGCAGCCCAGAGCCUGAAUCAGUGUGUGUGUUAGUGGAAGCGUCUGGAAAGGCGCGCGAUACAGGGUGACAGCCCCGUACACAAAAAUGCACAUGCUGUGAGCUCGAUGAGUAGGGCGGGACACGUGGUAUCCUGUCUGAAUAUGGGGGGACCAUCCUCCAAGGCUAAAUACUCCUGACUGACCGAUAGUGAACCAGUACCGUGAGGGAAAGGCGAAAAGAACCCCGGCGAGGGGAGUGAAAAAGAACCUGAAACCGUGUACGUACAAGCAGUGGGAGCACGCUUAGGCGUGUGACUGCGUACCUUUUGUAUAAUGGGUCAGCGACUUAUAUUCUGUAGCAAGGUUAACCGAAUAGGGGAGCCGAAGGGAAACCGAGUCUUAACUGGGCGUUAAGUUGCAGGGUAUAGACCCGAAACCCGGUGAUCUAGCCAUGGGCAGGUUGAAGGUUGGGUAACACUAACUGGAGGACCGAACCGACUAAUGUUGAAAAAUUAGCGGAUGACUUGUGGCUGGGGGUGAAAGGCCAAUCAAACCGGGAGAUAGCUGGUUCUCCCCGAAAGCUAUUUAGGUAGCGCCUCGUGAAUUCAUCUCCGGGGGUAGAGCACUGUUUCGGCAAGGGGGUCAUCCCGACUUACCAACCCGAUGCAAACUGCGAAUACCGGAGAAUGUUAUCACGGGAGACACACGGCGGGUGCUAACGUCCGUCGUGAAGAGGGAAACAACCCAGACCGCCAGCUAAGGUCCCAAAGUCAUGGUUAAGUGGGAAACGAUGUGGGAAGGCCCAGACAGCCAGGAUGUUGGCUUAGAAGCAGCCAUCAUUUAAAGAAAGCGUAAUAGCUCACUGGUCGAGUCGGCCUGCGCGGAAGAUGUAACGGGGCUAAACCAUGCACCGAAGCUGCGGCAGCGACACUGUGUGUUGUUGGGUAGGGGAGCGUUCUGUAAGCCUGUGAAGGUGUACUGUGAGGUAUGCUGGAGGUAUCAGAAGUGCGAAUGCUGACAUAAGUAACGAUAAAGCGGGUGAAAAGCCCGCUCGCCGGAAGACCAAGGGUUCCUGUCCAACGUUAAUCGGGGCAGGGUGAGUCGACCCCUAAGGCGAGGCCGAAAGGCGUAGUCGAUGGGAAACAGGUUAAUAUUCCUGUACUUGGUGUUACUGCGAAGGGGGGACGGAGAAGGCUAUGUUGGCCGGGCGACGGUUGUCCCGGUUUAAGCGUGUAGGCUGGUUUUCCAGGCAAAUCCGGAAAAUCAAGGCUGAGGCGUGAUGACGAGGCACUACGGUGCUGAAGCAACAAAUGCCCUGCUUCCAGGAAAAGCCUCUAAGCAUCAGGUAACAUCAAAUCGUACCCCAAACCGACACAGGUGGUCAGGUAGAGAAUACCAAGGCGCUUGAGAGAACUCGGGUGAAGGAACUAGGCAAAAUGGUGCCGUAACUUCGGGAGAAGGCACGCUGAUAUGUAGGUGAAGUCCCUCGCGGAUGGAGCUGAAAUCAGUCGAAGAUACCAGCUGGCUGCAACUGUUUAUUAAAAACACAGCACUGUGCAAACACGAAAGUGGACGUAUACGGUGUGACGCCUGCCCGGUGCCGGAAGGUUAAUUGAUGGGGUUAGCGCAAGCGAAGCUCUUGAUCGAAGCCCCGGUAAACGGCGGCCGUAACUAUAACGGUCCUAAGGUAGCGAAAUUCCUUGUCGGGUAAGUUCCGACCUGCACGAAUGGCGUAAUGAUGGCCAGGCUGUCUCCACCCGAGACUCAGUGAAAUUGAACUCGCUGUGAAGAUGCAGUGUACCCGCGGCAAGACGGAAAGACCCCGUGAACCUUUACUAUAGCUUGACACUGAACAUUGAGCCUUGAUGUGUAGGAUAGGUGGGAGGCUUUGAAGUGUGGACGCCAGUCUGCAUGGAGCCGACCUUGAAAUACCACCCUUUAAUGUUUGAUGUUCUAACGUGGACCCGUGAUCCGGGUUGCGGACAGUGUCUGGUGGGUAGUUUGACUGGGGCGGUCUCCUCCUAAAGAGUAACGGAGGAGCACGAAGGUUGGCUAAUCCUGGUCGGACAUCAGGAGGUUAGUGCAAUGGCAUAAGCCAGCUUGACUGCGAGCGUGACGGCGCGAGCAGGUGCGAAAGCAGGUCAUAGUGAUCCGGUGGUUCUGAAUGGAAGGGCCAUCGCUCAACGGAUAAAAGGUACUCCGGGGAUAACAGGCUGAUACCGCCCAAGAGUUCAUAUCGACGGCGGUGUUUGGCACCUCGAUGUCGGCUCAUCACAUCCUGGGGCUGAAGUAGGUCCCAAGGGUAUGGCUGUUCGCCAUUUAAAGUGGUACGCGAGCUGGGUUUAGAACGUCGUGAGACAGUUCGGUCCCUAUCUGCCGUGGGCGCUGGAGAACUGAGGGGGGCUGCUCCUAGUACGAGAGGACCGGAGUGGACGCAUCACUGGUGUUCGGGUUGUCAUGCCAAUGGCACUGCCCGGUAGCUAAAUGCGGAAGAGAUAAGUGCUGAAAGCAUCUAAGCACGAAACUUGCCCCGAGAUGAGUUCUCCCUGAC